UACGUAGGGGGCAAGCGUUGUCCGGAAUCAUUGGGCGUAAAGAGCGCGUAGGCGGCCCAGUCAGUCCGCUCUGAAAGUCGGGGGCUCAACCCUCGAAUGCCGGUGGAUACUGUCGGGCUAGAGUGCGGAAGAGGCGAGUGGAAUUCCUGGUGUAGCGGUGAAAUGCGCAGAUAUCAGGAGGAACACCAAUUGCGAAGGCAGCUCGCUGGGACGUGACUGACGCUGAGACGCGAAAGCGUGGGGAGCAAACAGG
rnacentral:rRNA from 1 species